rnacentral:rRNA from 1 species
UACGGGGGGGCAAGCGUUGUUCGGAAUUACUGGGCGUAAAGGGCUCGUAGGCGGCCAACUAAGUCGGAUGUGAAAGCCCCGGGCUCAACCCGGGAAGUGCACUCGAUACUGCCAAGCUAGAGUGUCGGAGAGGUUGGUGGAAUUCUCGGUGUAGAGGUGAAAUUCGUAGAUAUCGAGAGGAACACCGGUGGCGAAGGCGGCCAACUGGACGAACACUGACGCUGGAGACUCGAAAGCCGUGGGGAGCAAACAGG